rnacentral:rRNA from 1 species
GAGCGGGAAAGUUCCCUUCGGGGAGCAAGUACAGCGGCGAACGGGUGAGUAACACGUAGGUAACCUACCCUGGAGUCUGGGAUAACCUGCCGAAAGGCGGGCUAAUACCAGAUAAGACCACGGGGGCCACGGCCCCCUGGGGUAAAAGAUGGCCUAUGCUUGCAAGCUAUCACUCCGGGAUGGGCCUGCGCGCCAUUAGCUAGUUGGUGAGGUAACGGCUCACCAAGGCCGAGAUGGCUAGCUGGUAUGAGAGGAUGGCCAGCCACACUGGGACUGAGACACGGCCCAGACUCCUACGGGAGGCAGCAGUGGGGAAUAUUGCGCAAUGGGCGAAAGCCUGACGCAGCGACGCCGCGUGGGUGAUGAAGGCCUUCGGGUAGUAAAGCCCUGUACAAGAGGGACGAAACCUACGCCGACCUAAUACGUCGGCGACCUGACGGGACCUAUGAAGGAAGCACCGGCUAACUCCGUG